UAGGGAAUCUUUGGCAAUGGACGAAAGUCUGACCGAGCAACGCCGCGUGAGUGAAGAAGGUUUUCGGAUCGUAAAACUCUGUUGGUAGAGAAGAACGUUGGUGAGAGUGGAAAGCUCAUCAAGUGACGGUAACUACCCAGAAAGGGACGGCUAACUACGUGCCAGCAGCCGCGGUAAUACGUAGGUCCCGAGCGUUGUCCGGAUUUAUUGGGCGUAAAGCGAGCGCAGGUGGUUUAUUAAGUCUGGUGUAAAAGGCAGUGGCUCAACCAUUGUAUGCAUUGGAAACUUGUAGACUUGAGUGCAGGAGAGGAGAGUGGAAUUCCAUGUGUAGCGGUGAAAUGCGUAGAUAUAUGGAGGAACACCGGUGGCUAAAGCGGCUCUCUGGCCUGUAACUGACACUGAGGCUCGAAAGCGUGGGGAGCAAACA
rnacentral:rRNA from 1 species